GGAAUAAAAAGGAAAGUGGGAUUCAUCCCAGUGGCGAUCUUGCAUGCCAAGCAGCCUUAAGCAGACUUGAUGAAGAUAAUACCAGUAAGAACUCAAAAGGUUUUCAAUUUAGCCCACGUCCUCAGAUGCUGUUCCCACUAUCAGAUGGUGAAAAAGGAGAGUCACCUUGAAGAAAGAAAGAUGUUGACUUCCAUCUCCUGGUUCCCAAGGCUCCCUCCUCAUUUUACUCUUCUACCCCUCCCCCAUGUGUUCUUGAAACCUGGGGCCAUUCCAAGUCCUGAAUGUGCUGGAAAGCAUAUCCCUGGGCCAGCUGUGAACCUGCUCGGGCUGCCUUGGCAGAGGGUGAAUCAGAAACCAACAGAUAGCCAGGCAAACAAUGAGAACCAAGAGAGAAGAAUGAAAACCUAGAGAGGAUAGAGUAUCCAAGACCAGAUGGUGGCCCAUAUACUCGGCCCAUAUACUCUACAAUCCAGCUACACCAGCCUCCUUGCUGUUCUUUACACAUAACACUCUACUUACUAGAUGCCAUGACUUUGUACCAAGCAGCUGCCCGCCAUGCCUGGAAUAUUCUCUUUUCUCACCUAUUUCUAUUAGCUUCUCUAGCUUCCUUCAAAACUCAGCUCACUUUUUGGCUUUUCCUGGUCUCUAUCCCUCCUUACCCUCUCUCACACUAUUCCCUGCUGCUAGUGCCUUCCCUCUGAGAUUUUCUUCCAUUUGCUCUGCUUAACAUGUCUCCCCUAUGUGAGGUCCUUGAG
rnacentral:lncRNA from 1 species